rnacentral:rRNA from 1 species
UACGUAGGGUGCGAGCGUUGUCCGGAAUUACUGGGCGUAAAGAGCUCGUAGGUGGUUUGUCGCGUUGUCCGUGAAAACUCACAACUCAAUUGUGGGCGUGCGGGCGAUACGGGCAGACUGGAGUACUGCAGGGGAGACUGGAAUUCUCGGUGUAGCGGUGAAAUGCGUAGAUAUCGAGAGGAACACCUGCGGCGAAGGCGGGUUGCUGGGCUGAUACUGACGCUGAGGCGCGAAAGCCAGGGGAGCGAACGGG